GGGCUUGUGGUUUAGUGGUAUAAUUUUCCCUUAGCAUCUCGGUUACUACCUAAGUAAUUGAACAGAUCAUCAUAGCCUGGGAAAGGUCCUGGGUUCGAUUCCCAGCAAGUCCA